AUUGAACGCUGGCGGAAGGCCUAACACAUGCAAGUCGAACGAGUGGCGGACGGGUGAGUAAUGUAUGGGAAACUGCCCGAUGGAGGGGGAUAAAUACUGGAAACGGUAGCUAAUACCGCAUACCAUUAGAUCAGCCCAGAGGGGAUUAGCUAGUAGGUGGGGUAAAGGCUAACUGAGGCAACGAUCCCUAGCUGGUCUAAGAGGAUGACCAGCCACACUGGGACGUAGACACGGUCCAGACUCCUACGGGAGGCAGCAGUGGGGAAUUUUGCACAAUGGGCGAAAGCCUGAUGCAGCCAUCCCGCGUGUAGGAAGAAGGCCGUCGGGUUGUAAAGCACUGUCGGCGGAGAAGCGUUAUCCGCAGAAUAAGCACCGGCUAACUCCGUGCCAGCCGCCGCGGUAAUAC
rnacentral:rRNA from 1 species